GAUGAACGCUAGCGGCAGGCUUAAUACAUGCAAGUCGAGGGGCAGCAUAAGUAGCAAUACUUGAUGGCGACCGGCAAACGGGUGCGGAACACGUACGCAACCUUCCUUUAAGUGGGGAAUAGCCCGGGGAAACCCGGAUUAAUACCCCGUAAUAUUAUGAUGUGGCAUCACAUUAUAAUUAUAGAUUCAUCGCUUAAAGAUGGGCGUGCGCCUGAUUAGGUAGUUGGCGGAGUAAUAGCCCACCAAGCCUGCGAUCGGUAACUGGUGUGAGAGCACGACCAGUCACACGGGCACUGAGACACGGGCCCGACUCCUACGGGAGCAGCAGUAAGGAAUAUUGGUCAAUGGACGCAAGUCUGAACCAGCCAUGCCGCGUGGAGGAUGAAGGUCCUCUGGAUUGUAAACUUCUUUUAUUUGGGAAGAAAUGUGAUGAUUCUUUAUCACUUGACGGUACCAGAUGAAUAAGCACC
rnacentral:rRNA from 1 species